AUCCAUCUGACGAGUCCCAAAUAGGACGAAACGCGCGUUAUGGAU
rnacentral:hammerhead_ribozyme from 1 species